AUUCUGCCCAAGCGGGGAAGGAUGAGAAGCUUCGACCAAGGUUCGACUUGAGCGCCAGCGAGAGAGCGUUGCCGCAGGCAACGACCCGAAGGGCGAA
rnacentral:sRNA from 2 species